AAACUAUUUCGUUUUCCCCUCUCAUAUGGUUUAUAUAAUAAACCUCCUCUUUCUAUUCAUUUAAGAAAACCCUCUCCCCUCACCCUGGGCUGCUCUCUCUCUUUCUGGCCCAGCUCUCUCUACAUCUUCCUCUCUCCCGCAGCCCAAUCCAACACGGAGGCCCAUUUCUCUUCCCAGCCCAGCUCUGGCCCGUACCUUUUCGAUGGAGAGGGGAUCUCUCUUUGUCAUCUUCCUCCGGUGGUCACGCAAGGAACGAGACCCCCGUCGCUUUCCUCCACCACGGUGUCGUGCCCACCUCCACCUGCUCCUUCCCUUUCCCCUCCUUAAAGCCUCUCCCUGGAAACCCUAGUCCGCCUCUCCCUCCCUUGCGCCGCCAUCUUCUUCUUUCUCCCUGUUUCGUUUUCUUCAACCACCAGAGAAACCCCCACAGCAACGCACCAUGUCGCCAUGGCGCCGACGCGGUAGGCCGCCCCUCGCCAAGCUGAAGCCACCAGAAGAUGCGCCGCAUCAUCCUCUCCAUCCUCAUGCAAGGAAUCGAGCCAAGGCCCCGUAAAUCGAGCGCAAGGUCGCCGUUUCUCCUCCAUGGCUGCCAUGCUCCGGCGUCGAUUCCGGCCGCCCUCGUCCUCCUCCGGCCAAACCGAGCACACCACCGGCUUCCUCAUGUUCAUCCGCACCUCCGACGCCAUCUCGCUUCUUCUGGUUCGCCCCCAAACAUCGAAUCCUCCUCCAACUAGAGCCUUCCGCCAUGGAUGUGUAUGUCCCAGAUCUUCGCCUCGUUUUGGGCUAAAUCGUUGUGUGCCUCUUCAUAAUCAACAUCAGCUACCGCAGCCCAGUGAUCCGGCGCCUACUGGGCCUCGGCCCGUAUCCCCGCCCGCUUCUUCACCGCCUAGCGCGCGGCAGGCCGCUAUUCACCGCCGUCUCUGCGCAGCAUUUGCUUCUUCCCGGAUAGGAUCACGAAGUGGUGAUGUGAGAUACGACGAGUUCUACGACAAGUUCUUCUGCAACCUUUCACAGGCGAACCCUCUCUCUUCACCUAUUUACUCUCUCCCUCGCACUGCUAUCCUUAUGUUGCGAUUCUUUAUCGAGUCACGUGUCCUAUCCACUUGUUUACCAUAAUAAUCCUAUAUGCACCAUUCCUUAUCCAUAGCCGUUGCUUGAUGUUUGAGCCUUGCGAGUCGUAGGCGUGUUUAGGUUCUGUUGUUUAUCUCGAUCUGUUAUCGGGAUAUGUUGGGUUGUUGGGAGCUUAUCACAUGCUAUAUCAGUUGUUGGAGAUACACAUACUUUACUUAAUUGUUAACAACUAAAAUUGUAAGCAGAGGCAUCUGUGAGCCCCUUUGCGAAAGCAUCGGAACUUUGACUUGCUAAUGUCCCCUAGGACCCGAGUUCUUGUUAUCUGUUCCGAGAUUGAGCGCUCUACCCGUACGUGGGGGAAUGGGACCCCCAUCACCCACUACCUUUCCUCGAGUCUGUUUAUUGGGAGCCACAACCUUGGUUUUAUUUGCUCAUAUGCACGAUGCACGAUUUACUUCCUGUUACCUUCUGGUGUUUAUAUUAUGUACUGUACUCAUAUCGUGGAACGAUUAGCGAAAGCAGGUUGUUCACACUUAGCUUAGCCGUUGGCACAAACCUCUGGGUCCGUAUCGGAGUACGGCCGAACUUCGUCACGGGUAGCUUAGUGGGGUGGCUCCCCUUAAACUUUCUCUUGCAUUGGGAAUGGUCUUGAUGUGAGACUCCACCUGUAGUAAGUGGGUUCGAGCAUGUGUAUGGUUACAUUUGGGCAACCCCUGCAGGGUGUACAUCUUAUCGAUAAGCCGUGUCCGCGGUUAUGGACGACUUGGAAUUGUAUAGCUUGAUCAUAGAACAACUUACACCUUUAUGUUGUUAAUAAUAUUUUGCUAAUAACUUGAUUACUAAUUUAGCAUUACUACAACCGAUACCUAAUAAAACUUGUCCACCGUUGAGUGCCUUUUACAUUGCCUCUUCGCAAUUGUUGAAGGGGAUAUGUGUAAUCGGCUGGGUUAUGUUUGUGUAGUAUUUAUCUGUUACCUUGUGCGCUCUCUUAUCUUCUCUGAGUAGACGGAUGUUGUAGCGUGUCUCUAUUGGAUAGUAGCUUUGCUGCCGCUAAACUCCACAUAUAGCCGGGUGAAGUUUAUACCGCCCACCAGUGAGCAUAGCUGGUCUUGUCUCGCAAGUACGUGCCAAUGGUACUUACCCUCGCCUUCCUUUCUUUUUGUCUCCUCCCCCUUUUGUCGGCAACCGAUGGCCCGACUUUGACAGGUACGAGAUGACGACGUUAGCAAGGUUACCCUUCACGCUUGGCACAGGCGGGGUUAUGGACGCCACUGGUUACCUUCAGGACUCUUAGUCCAAUUUGUAUCUUGUCCGUACUCGGACGUAUUUGAUCUUCUGUAUGAUUUGGAUCUUUGUAUUGUAUCUUUGUAUCUUGACUCGUUAGAGUCGUUGUUGUAAUAUAUGUUUCUUGUGGGCUCUAUUGUAAUCCUGUUGUAAUGUUACCGCUCGUGUUAAUUCCUCUGGCAUCACGUGUGUGAUUCGUCGCGCACGUCGUGUCGGAGGGCGUCUCUGAAUCGAUAUCAUGCGGAUUUCGGCGGGAUCGCUGGAAUCCUCAUGGUACCGGUUCCGGGGCGUCACAAAGUAGGAUCCCUAGGCCUUGUUUCCGAAUAGAAAAGUUACACCACAGAGAAUUGCCUCCCACGCCAGUAAGCUAUUUUCUGGCACCGUUUCCAACAAGUUCUGCUACAUGUUUACUUGCUGCCAUAUUUAUUUCAGAUUGUUAUUACCUCU